rnacentral:rRNA from 1 species
GUAGGGGGCAAGCGUUAUCCGGAAUUACUGGGUGUAAAGGGAGCGUAGGCGGCAUGGUAAGCCAGAUGUGAAAGCCUUGGGCUUAACCCGAGGAUUGCAUUUGGAACUAUCAAGCUAGAGUACAGGAGAGGAAAGCGGAAUUCCUAGUGUAGCGGUGAAAUGCGUAGAUAUUAGGAAGAACACCAGUGGCGAAGGCGGCUUUCUGGACUGAAACUGACGCUGAGGCACGAAAGCGUGGGGAGCAAACAGGAUUAGAUACCCUGGUAGUCCACGCCGUAAACGAUGAGUGCUAGGUGUCGGGGAGGAAUCCUCGGUGCCGCAGCUAACGCAAUAAGCACUCCACCUGGGGAGU